rnacentral:rRNA from 1 species
AACGAACGCUGGCGGCAGGCUUAACACAUGCAAGUCGAACGGCAGCACGGGGGCAACCCUGGUGGCGAGUGGCGAACGGGUGAGUAAUAUAUCGGAACGUGCCCUGGAGUGGGGGAUAACUAGUCGAAAGACUAGCUAAUACCGCAUACGAUCUACGGAUGAAAGUGGGGGAUCGCAAGACCUCAUGCUCGUGGAGCGGCCGAUAUCUGAUUAGCUAGUUGGUGGGGUAAAAGCCUACCAAGGCAUCGAUCAGUAGCUGGUCUGAGAGGACGACCAGCCACACUGGGACUGAGACACGGCCCAGACUCCUACGGGAGGCAGCAGUGGGGAAUUUUGGACAAUGGGCGCAAGCCUGAUCCAGCAAUGCCGCGUGAGUGA